CGCAGAGCUGUCAGCAAGCUCCAAACCGCGGCUGCCGCCCGGAGGGAAGCAGACGGGGAGUCGGUGGCGGCCGCCGAGUCCGCAUGCGCAGGCUGCAAAGGCCCUUUUGGGCCGGUCCCGCCGCGCUAGGUUGGCGAGUGGGACUAUUUGAUCCUUUCCAGGUUCGCCAGCGUGGUGUUACGAGAGGAAAGCGCAGCCGCAGCGUACGAAUGGGAAGGCCAAACACGGUCCCGGGGAGUCUGAGGGAAGCUGCAGGGCGCCUGGAAUUGGGGUCUCGAGUGAGCCGGUAAAAACCGCCUCCCGCUGAGCGUCCCGGAACAAAUACUGUCUGAACUGAGCCGUAAGCAAGAAACGGUCAGGAGAAGCUGGGGCGAUCUGAUGAUUAGAACAUUUCAGGGACUACCAGAGAGAAGUGCGUAAUUGCUCUAAGGCAGGUAGGUAAUUGGCCUGGAAACUUGGGAACGCCCCGCCCCCCACCCCGACUUUCAGCAAACCACCGUGCCCAGGAAAAAGAGCGAUUGUGGAAGACCCUGUGAAGAAGAGACCAGGAAGGCACUGUGGCUUAAGAGAGCAAGGCGUUCCUGAAUGCAGCCAACAUCAACUGGUAAACAAAAAACUGUGAGAACGGAUCCUGAAUCUUGCGCUUACCAGGGGAAAUUCAGGAGAGAUAUGAACCUGAGCAAGAUGAGGUUGAAGUUACUCAAUGCGGCAUUAAGCCUGUUCACGGCCACUUCCUCCGGCGUCACCAACACACACACUGUACACCAGCAGUAUUUUUACACGGGGUAUGUGUGUUAAGUACUAUCAGGUGGAUAAUUAUUACUUCACCUGUAUUUGCUGCCUUGAUACCAUUAGAGAAACUCAUGAAUUAUAAAUAGCAUAGUGAAUUUGUGAUUCCCUGAAGAUAUACUAAGGUGGACUUUUAAAAAGGCUUCUAUUCCAAAGGGAACUAAUAUGGAGGAAAUGGUUUCGAGAAAGAAAAAAGAAAAAACGGAGUCCUUGAUUAGUUGUGGGGAAGGCAACAUAAUGUAAUGUGAAGAAUAAAGGAGUCAGAUCCAGGAAACCCCAUAACUAUUAUGUAAGUUAUCUUCAUCUGUAAAGUGGUUAGGAUCCUGAUAGUCUCAAAGGUUUGUUUUGAGGUUUCAUGAAGCAGAUAAAUAUUCUUGUAAAUUGUAGAAUGUUAUACCAGUGUUACUCAUUAUUCUAACAAGAGCAGAGUAGUGAAGAGAGGCUCCUUCAGAAAUUCCUUGGGAUUUUUUUUUUUUUGGCUUCUGUUUUUUUAUAUCACAAGGUAGUGUCUCUGAAAAAUGGUAGAUGAUUUCAAUGUCCACAAAUAUGCAGGUGUAGACAUUCAAUUGAGGUACUGUACCCAAGGCAGCCAGCAAAAUGCUGAACAUAGAAAAUAACUUUGUAAACAAAAUGCAAUAUUUCUAGACAGUGAGUUAUCACCAGUGUGCUGCCUAUGACCCUGGCCUUAAGGAAAAAGUAGCAGAGCUGAAGAAGUUCUAAGGAUGGAAAUUAAAAAUUAUUAAGGAGAUAAUAGACUUCGUGUUAUAGGAAAUAAAAAUAGCAAGGGUCUUCAAUGGUGAGUGAUUUUGAGAUUAAUUACAUAACUAUGAAUUCUGUAAUAUUAGAACUAAGCUUUACAAAGCAUUCCUUAAAAAAAGAUAAUUUUACAACAAAGGUAACAUUAGACAGAAAAAAAUGUACAAAACUAAAAUUAAGUGAUUAAUGCUUGGGAAUGUUUCCUCCAAUGUUCAUCUAGUCAUGGUUUUCACGAAUCACUCUUGCCAAUAAAACCGAAAAUCAAAGUAAUCUAGUGAGUGUAAGAAAAGUUACUGUAAAUAUGUUUGCAUUCGUCAGACUCUAUGGAGUCUUUUUGAAGUUAAACAUUAAAUCUCCACUGUAAUUCAUACUGUUAAUUAUAGUAGCAAAAGACUUAAAAAACAAUGGUAGCAUAUUUAUGAUAUAUCCAAAAUUAAGAGUAUUAUGCAAUUUUUAUUAGGUUGAUCUAUGUUUAUUGACUAGGAAAAACAAUGUUGGUAGAGAGGAGUGAACAGAUCUAGAACAUAUUUUGUAGGUAAAGGGAAUAAGAUUUGUUUAGGAAUUAACUAUGAGGAGAAAUAAAUGUUCAGAAACAAGUAGAGCACUUAUAAACACCUUUUUGUGCCAAAUUAAGAACAAAAAAGUCAGCAUUAAGUUAAUGCCACCAUAUACAUCCUUCCACAUUUAUGUUUACAAACUUGUGCUUUUAUUUCUAGGAAACAUUUCUAGGCUGGGCGCAGUGGCUCACACCUGUAAUGCUAGCGCUUUGGGAAGCCAAGAUGGGAGGAUUAUUUGAGGCCGGGAGUUUGCGACCAGCCUGAGCAACAUAGCAGGAUCCUGUCUCUGCAAAAAAAUUUAAAACUAGCCAGGUGCGGUGGCUCGUGCCUGUUGCCCUAGCUACUCAGGGAGACUGAGGCAGAGGAUUGCUUCAACCCAGGAGUUUGAGGUUGCAGUGAGCUAAGAUCAUGUCACUGCACUCCAGACUGAGCAACAGAGUGACACUUUAUAAAAAAAAAAAAAAAAAAAACUAGGUUUUUGAACUUGCUUAAUCAAAGAAUUUGUUUAAACUUUUAAGAUGCGUUGUCAGAUUAUCUUUCCCUAAAGGAAUAAUUUCUAUUCCUAUCAGCUGUUUAUAUUCCUGCCUAGUCACCAUCACUAGAUAUAAUUGAUUUUCAGUUUUUGCCAAUCUGAGGAACAAAAAAUGACCCUUAUAUGUCAAAUUUACAGUUUAUUUUCAAGGAUUUUGGGAUUCUGAUCAAAUUUUGGUACCUUCAUAUAAAAUUUGGCUUUUAUAUCACAUCUUGUCUUCUCUGCUUUCCACCCUCUUUUAUGUUGUUUUUUGGCUUCUGGCCGCAUGACUAUAAUCUCCGCUUUUGUAUUCACAUCACCUUCUGUCAUUUUUGACCUUGCCUCCGUCUUACAAGGAUCCUUGUAAUUAAUUAUAUUGGGCCUGCUGAGAUAAUCCAGGAUAUUCUUCCUACUCAAGUUCCUCAAUUUAAUCACAUCUGCAAAAACUGCCUUUUGCUAUAGAACAAUGACAGGAGAUUAGAAUGUAAACAUAUUUGGGGGACCGUUAUUCAGCUUAACACAAUACGUCCCCCUUCAUCAGGUGGAGCUUAUUUUCCCUCCUUCCUUGAGUGUGGGCUGGACUUAGUGACUAACUUCCAAAGAACAGAGUAUGGAAAGGGAGGAGGAGAGUAACUUCAUAGUACAGAAACCUGGAAACACUGUCUUGGCCAGGUGGUCAAAGUUAAUAUCAUCAAGUCAUGUUGAUAGCAUAUACUCCCAAUAUACUGUGAUGAGAAGGGCAAUUCACCUCUGUGGUAUUCUCAAAACCUAUAACCCAAUCUAGUCUAAACAUGAAAAAAAAAAAAUCAAACUAAAAUUGAAGGACAUUCUAUAAAACACCUGAUCAGUAUUCCUCAAAACUAUCAACGUCGUGGGGAACAAGGAAAGAUUGAAAUACUGUAACAGACCAGAGGAAACUAAGGAAACUUAAUUGAUGACUGAAUGCAGUGUGCUGUGUUGAACUGGAUCCUAGAGAAAAUAGACAUUAGUGGAAAAACUACUGAAAUAUGAAUAGUCUCAAGUUUAAUAGUAGUGUACCAUUAUUACUUUCUUAGUUUUGACAAAUGUACCAUGGUUAUGCAAGAUGCUAACAAUACAGAAAAAUAAGGGGUAUUUGGGACCUCCCUGUAUUAUCCUUAUGCCCUUACUUGAAAGUUGUUUCAGCAAUAGAAGUUUAUUUAAAAUAUUGUGAAGGGCCUGAGUAUUUUUAAAUCAACUGCAGUGACUCUCUUUUGUGUAUUUGUGUACAGAUGAGUUUUUCUGCAUCGAAUUUUAUCUCCUUUCCUUGCAGAAGAAAGAGAAUUAGCCCUUUACAGAGAUAACAGUUGCCUAAGCCAGCUCUUUUCUCCUCUUUUUGAUGUUCUUCUUUUUCUCUCAGUUUGAAAAUUGUAGGUUAUUUGAGUUUUUAAAAUGUCUAUUGCUACAUACACAUUCUAGUUAUAUUCUA
rnacentral:lncRNA from 1 species